AAGUCAUCCUAUUCACAUUCUUAUUUAACUCCUCCUCUAUGCUGAGCACUCUUUGGCCCAAAACUGAGCAGCCAAGGCAUUUCCCACUAUUCACAAGUUCAUAUAUAACCACACUUCAGGUCACUUCUCCUUCCACAUUAGGUGAAUGACCCAGUAUACUGCUCUUAUCUCUUCCUGCUAGUGAGAUUUCCUUUAAUUCUGUCCUUUAGGUAAAUUUAAGUGGGGAUAUAAGGGGAUGAGUGUUAAUCUUGUUUUAACUACCACCAACAGAGAGGUCCAAGUUUCUUUUUUCAUUAUGUAUUUGCAAAAAAUCCUCCCCUCCCAAAGGCCAUAGUUAGUUGAAGGAGAUGUGAUGUCUGAGAUGAAAUAAAAUUCGGUUAGGCAUGGAGUUGAUCAGAGUCUAUUCAGAGCUAGUCAUGUAGUAGGCACUAGGACAAGAGACAGGAGAGGCAGAGAGGACGUGAGGUGUGCAUUUGAGGUACCUGAUGCAUAUCCUCCAUGUGUCCACAGUGGCUAACUCAUAGCAGGCACUAACAGUAUUUGUGGUUUUUAUCAUCAGAAGCAUGAUCCUAUCUGUCAACAGCAAUGCAGAAGGUAACUAUUCUGAGAAGUUAAGGGAAGUGAAUCUUAGAAACUUUUUAAAUGGAGGAAGAUGAAAUUAAAAUGGCGGUAGUAGACUGGAAGAGAAUGAUUAAGAGGCAAAUGCAGAUUCAAGAGAUGUAAUAAAAGCCAUCAAGUAUGCCUGAGAAAAUAAGGAGGGAUAAUGAGGUAAAGAAUGAGGCAGAGAAUUCUGAAAAGUUAUGAAGCACAGUGUAAAUAUCUACAUGGCUUGGGAUCCACUGGAAGACCUGAGCAGUUGUGAUACUUAAUUUUAUAUCAAUUUGACUCGGCUAGGGGAUGACCAGAUGGCUAAUAAAACACUAUUUCUGGGUGUGUCCGUGAGAGUGUGCAUUUGAAUCAGCAGACUGAGUAAAGAAGGUCCCCUCACCAAUGUUGAUAGGCAUCAUCCAAUUGGUUAUAGGACCAAAAGGAAUAAAAAGACAGAGGGAGGGUAAAUAGUCUCUCUCGUCGAGACUGGAAUGUCCAUCUUCUGCCCUUGGACAUUGGAACUUUUGGGUCUUGGGUUUUCUGACUCUGACUUACAGCAGUGCACCCUCUUCAGAGUGGGAGUUACAUCAUCAGCUGGCCUGAUUUUCGGCCCUUGUGACUCAAACUGAAAUAUUCCACUGGCUUUCCUGGUUCUUCAGUUUACAGACAGCAGAUCAUGGGACGUCUCAGCUUCUAUAAUCAUAUGGAAAUCCUCACUACAUGGCUUCCCGUGUGGUCACCAGAAGGUUAUAAGAUGCAACCUGGAAUCUGAGGAGUUGGCUAUUUGUGAUGUGACCUUUGACCGAAAGGAAAGGGAGACUGGAAGCAGCUGCCACAGAUGGAUUGGAGAAGACCAUUGUGAUCCAAGCAUGGCUAUGUAGAGUGAAGUGAAUGUGGCAAGAACUGUGCCUUUUAUACUGAAUUCAGAUGAGAAUCGGCAUUGACAUUGACAUUUGGAAGGAAGUCUAUAAUUUGGUGGUUGAAACUGCCUGUGAGGUAUUAAAACAGGAUAAGUAAAUUUUCUAUUGAUGUGUGACUUAUCUAAUUGAAUCCACAUUUAAAACAAUAUCUAGGUUGGUCUAGUAAGAGUGAUAAAAAAAAACUGUCUAUGGCAUGAGAAAUAAAUUCUUCUGAGCUUUUUUUGUGUUCUAAGUGCUCAAGGAUGAUGCUUUUGUUAUCAUCAAGAACCUGAGAGUGGAUAUAUUUUACAUCAAGAAAGAUGUUAUCUGGAUUCUGUGCUGAGGAAAUGUAACAUCUCUAAUGUGACUAAUCAAGCAUUCAGUUACCAUCCAUGUUCAUGGAUCAUAGCUUACUGUUUCCUUCAAAAGCAAGAAUUUGGGCCCAUAGUAAGAAAGCAUACUAAUAAAAUACUUGCAUUUUAACCUAUGAAAAAAUUAAAUUGGCUACCAUAAUGUUCCAAAAAAAGGAAAAGAAAGAAAACAAUAUAAAAAAAAUUAUGUGGUUUAACCUAAAAGGUAGGCAGAAAUAUGAGAAUUUUCUCUAAUGAAACAAUUAUACUACACUUAUCAGACAACAUUCCAUUUUAUAUGUCCUCUGUAGUCUUAAUAGCUAAAGUUCUGGGUUGUAUUUUUAAAUAAGCCAGUGGCAAUUAAAAAAUAACUUUACUUGACUUUUAAAAUUAAUGUCAUUUUUACUGUAGACUUUAAGAACUAUAAAGAAAAGCAUAUGAAGGGAAACAAAAUUUAAAGCACCCUUAAAAGUCAUUGCUAAUUUGUGUGUUUGUGCCCCCCCCAAUUUUUUAUAUAUAUUUUUUUACACAGGUACAUACUUCCAAAUUAAGAUAAUACUAUGUAGACGGUAUUACAUUCUGUUUGGGGGAUUUUUCUGUCAUCAAUUUUCUGUAUAUUUUCCAAAGCUUUUCAUAUUCUUUGAAAACAAUGUUUAAAUGCUUCAUAUUUUUACUUGACAUGGCCAUAGCAUGACUUAUUUACCCAUUAGCCCAUUUGUGGUUAUGUAAGUGGUUUUUCCAUUUUAGCAUCAGAAAGAAUUCUGUAUUGGAUAUCCUUAUACAUAUUCUUCUUUUGGUAAAUCUCCUAUUCUUUCCUAAGAAGUAGAAUUAGUGGCUCAAAGGAAAUACAAAAUUAAAAUUCAUUUGAUAUGUGUUACCAAAUUAUUCAUAAAAACUGGAGGUCAAAAUGCUAUUCCAUGCAUUUUCAAUUUAUACUUUGACUAUUUACUGAAGUUUAACUGUUUUCACUUCUUAGCAAUUUUAUUUAUUAUUUAUAUAUUAAUGCUUUUAAUUAUUUUUCUGCACAAGAGUUCAUCCUAUGUAUUGGGUUAAUAAAAACUCUUUACAUAUUAAAGAUUCUUAUGAGUGUGCCAGACAUGAGUACACAUGAGAGACAAAUUAUUUGCUUUCACAAGCUUAUUUUAGUAUCCAAUACAUAAAAGAAGCAAACAAAGAAACAAGACAGUUUAUUGUUUCAGACAAAGAUUUUUUCUUGCAUUUGAUCUUUUAGAUAGAAAUAGGGGUAGUAGUAUAGAGAAGGAUGAUGCCUUAGCUAAUGUGCUCAGAGGAUGAUAAGGUUCUUUGGUUCUCAAAUCUUUAUUUAAAAAAAAAAAAAAUAUAUAUAUAUAUAUUUAAUAUAUAUACUUAAUAUAUAAAUAUAUAUUUAAUGCAUAUAAGUAUAUAUUUCAAACAUAUAAUGAAAAUGUAUAUAUUGCAAAUAUAUAUACAAAUACAUAUAUAUUUAAUGCAUAUAUCUUAUAUAUAUCAUAUAUAUAUGCCAUUUUAUAGUUUUUCUUAUUUAGGUCUUGCCCACUUCUUGUCAAAUUUCUUCCUUUGUAUUUUAUAUUUUUGUUAUUAUGGAUGGGAUUUCUCUUUGCAUUAUGUUUCUUUACUGGCUGUGGCAGGUCGCUGACUAUUUUAAUUAUGAUACCUAUAAUUUGAGCUAUGGUCCUAAAGUUAGUUUAAGGGUGAGCCAAUUACCACAGGGUGUGACUCAAAAUUUCCUGUGAUUGAGCACCCAGGAUUCUAUCUCCCUAAGUUCCCAAGCUCACGCUUAGUGUAGAAGUGUCAGAGUUUGAGACCUGAUGAUGACCAAAAAGCUGAGCCUCACUGAAAGUACUUAUGUCUUCUGGUAGUUUAUGUCUUGAAGUUGUAUUUUGAAACCUGUUGUUUUAACAAACACUUUGAGUUUUGCAUCUUGCCGAGUGUAAGAAAUUUUUAAAGGGUAUUUAUACAU